GCGAGUUACGAUUUGAUGCAAGGUUAAGCAGUAAAUGUGGAGCCGUAGCGAAAGCGAGUCUGAAUAGGGCGUUUAGUAUUUGGUCGUAGACCCGAAACCAGGUGAUCUACCCUUGGUCAGGUUGAAGUUCAGGUAACACUGAAUGGAGGACCGAACCGACUUACGUUGAAAAGUGAGCGGAUGAACUGAGGGUAGCGGAGAAAUUCCAAUCGAACCUGGAGAUAGCUGGUUCUCUCCGAAAUAGCUUUAGGGCUAGCCUCAAGUGAUGAUUAUUGGAGGUAGAGCACUGUUUGGACGAGGGGCCCCUCUCGGGUUACCGAAUUCAGACAAACUCCGAAUGCCAAUUAAUUUAACUUGGGAGUCAGAACAUGGGUGAUAAGGUCCGUGUUCGAAAGGGAAACAGCCCAGACCACCAGCUAAGGUCCCAAAAUAUAUGUUAAGUGGAAAAGGAUGUGGCGUUGCCCAGACAACUAGGAUGUUGGCUUAGAAGCAGCCAUCAUUUAAAGAGUGCGUAAUAGCUCACUAGUCGAGUGACACUGCGCCGAAAAUGUACCGGGGCUAAACAUAUUACCGAAGCUGUGGAUUGUCCUUUGGACAAUGGUAGGAGAGCGUUCUAAGGGCGUUGAAGCAUGAUCGUAAGGACAUGUGGAGCGCUUAGAAGUGAGAAUGCCGGUGUGAGUAGCGAAAGACGGGUGAGAAUCCCGUCCACCGAUUGACUAAGGUUUCCAGAGGAAGGCUCGUCCGCUCUGGGUUAGUCGGGUCCUAAGCUGAGGCCGACAGGCGUAGGCGAUGGAUAACAGGUUGAUAUUCCUGUACCACCUAUAAUCGUUUUAAUCGAUGGGGGGACGCAGUAGGAUAGGCGAAGCGUGCGAUUGGAUUGCACGUCUAAGCAGUAAGGCUGAGUAUUAGGCAAAUCCGGUACUCGUUAAGGCUGAGCUGUGAUGGGGAGAAGACAUUGUGUCUUCGAGUCGUUGAUUUCACACUGCCGAGAAAAGCCUCUAGAUAGAAAAUAGGUGCCCGUACCGCAAACCGACACAGGUAGUCAAGAUGAGAAUUCUAAGGUGAGCGAGCGAACUCUCGUUAAGGAACUCGGCAAAAUGACCCCGUAACUUCGGGAGAAGGGGUGCUCUUUAGGGUUAACGCCCAGAAGAGCCGCAGUGAAUAGGCCCAAGCGACUGUUUAUCAAAAACACAGGUCUCUGCUAAACCGUAAGGUGAUGUAUAGGGGCUGACGCCUGCCCGGUGCUGGAAGGUUAAGAGGAGUGGUUAGCUUCUGCGAAGCUACGAAUCGAAGCCCCAGUAAACGGCGGCCGUAACUAUAACGGUCCUAAGGUAGCGAAAUUCCUUGUCGGGUAAGUUCCGACCCGCACGAAAGGCGUAACGAUUUGGGCACUGUCUCAACGAGAGACUCGGUGAAAUCAUAGUACCUGUGAAGAUGCAGGUUACCCGCGACAGGACGGAAAGACCCCGUGGAGCUUUACUGUAGC
rnacentral:rRNA from 1 species